rnacentral:miRNA from 1 species
GGUUUCUCUGUGUAGCUUUGGCUGUCCUGGAACUCACUCUGUAGACCAGGCUGGCCCUGAACUCACAGAGAUCCGCCUGCCUCUGCCUCUCGAGUGCUGGGAUUAAAGGCAUGUGCCACCACUGCCUG